GAUGAAGAACGUAGCGGAAUGCGAUAAGUAGUGUGAAUUGCAGAAUUCAGUGAAUCAUCGAAUCUUUGAACGCACAUUGCGCCCCUUGGUAUCCCGAGGGGCAUGCCUGUUCGAGCGUCAUUUCACCACUCAAGCCUGGCUUGGUGUUGGGCGACGUCCCCUUUGGGGACGCGCCUCGAAACGCUCGGCGGCGUGGCACCGGCUUUAAGCGUAGCAGAAUCUUUCGCUUUGGAAGUCGGGGCCCCGUCUGCCGGAAGACCUACUCGCAAGGUUGACCUCGGAUCAGGCAGGGAUACCCGCUGAACUUAAGCAUAUCAAUAAGCGGAGGA
rnacentral:misc_RNA from 1 species